rnacentral:rRNA from 1 species
CUCAAAAUUACCUCGUAACUUCGGAAGAAGAGGUACCCCUUCACGGGGGUUGCAAUAGAUUGACCCUGGCGACUGUUUACCAAAAACACAGGUCUCCGCUAAUUCGUAAGAAAAAGUAUGGGGGCUGACGCCUGCCCAGUGCCGGAAGGUUAAAGAAGUUGGUUAGUCCUUGGACAAAGCUAGCGACUGAAGCCCCGGUGAACGGCGGCCGUAACGAUAACGGUCCUAAGGUAGCGAAAUUCCUUGUCGGGUAAGUUCCGACCCGCACGAAAGGCGUAACGAUCAGGGUACUGUCUCGGAGAGAGGCUCGGCGAAAUAGACAUGUCUGUGAAGAUGCGGACUACCUGCACCUGGACAGAAAGACCCUAUGAAGCUUUACUGUAUCUUGGAAUUGGGUUUGGUCUUUGCAUGCGCAGGAUAGGUGGGAGGCUUUGAAGAUGAUCUUGCGGGGUCGUUGGAGCCACUGGUGAGAUACCACCCUUGCAAUGUUAAAAUCCUAACUUUGCACCGUUAUCCGGUCAAAGAACAGUUUCAGGUGGGCAGUUUGACUGGGGCGGUCGCCUCCUAAAAGGUAACGGAGGCGUGCAAAGGUUCCCUCAGGCUGGUUGGACAUCAGUCGUAGAGUGUAAAGGCAUAAGGGAGCUUGACUGCGAGACCAACAAGUCGAGCAGAGACGAAAGUCGGCCUUAGUGAUCCGGCGCUUCCGAGUGGAAGGGGCGUCGCUCAACGGAUAAAAGUUACUCUAAGGAUAACAGGCUGAUCUCCCCCAAGAGUUCACAUCGACGGGGAGGUUUGGCACCUCGAUGUCGGCUCAUCGCAUCCUGGGGCGGUAGUACGUCCCAAGGGUUGGGCUGUUCGCCCAUGAAAGCGGUACGCGAGCUGGGUUCAGAACGUCGUGAGACAGUUCGGUCCAUAUCCGGUGCAGGCGUUAGAGUAUUGCGAACUCCUCCUUAGUACGAGAGGACCGGGGGGAAUGCACCGCUGGUGUACCAGUUAUCGUGCCAACGGUAAACGCUGGGUAGCCAAGUGCAGUUUGGAUAACUGCUGAAAGCAUCUAAGUAGGAAGCCAGCUUCAAGAUGAGUACUCUCACCGCUUCAAGCGGGUAAGAUCACGGCAAGAACAGCCGUUUGAUAGGCAUCAAGUGUAAGUGCAGUAAUGUAUUCAGCUGAGAUGUACUAAUAGAUCGAGGGCUUAUCAAA